AGAAAAACAUCACAGCUGAGUCUGGACAGAACGUCAUUCUUACAUGUCAAGCUCCAAACAACAACAUCAUAGGUGUGGAGUGGAACAGAGCUGACCUGAGAGAUGAAUAUAUACUUUCGUACAGAGACAAGCAGUUUGAUCCAGACAACCAGCAUCCAUCUUUUAUGAACCGGGUGGAUCUGCAGGACAGACAGAUGAAGGAUGGAGACGUGUCUUUGAUUUUGAAGAAUGUGACAAUUAAUGACACUGGUAUAUACAAGUGUCGUGUCUUCACUGGAGAGACAAGAUCAUGGGAGACCAUCAACACCUUCAACCUGACUGUUUCAGGUCAGACAAGAGGAGACACAGAGGAUGGAGCUGUUGGACUGAUAGUUGGUCUGUCAGUUUCUGCUGCUGUUCUUCUUGUUGCUGCUGUUGUUGGUUUUUUGAUAUACAGAAAAUGUAACGAAACAAAACAGAGUCAGCAUUCAUACAAGCCUCCUGAUGAACUGCACCAUGGAAAUGGCUCAGCUAUUCACACAGAAUCAGAAAAGCCUGCAUUGCUAAAUCAAACAUAAGGAUAAUCUGUGACUGUAGAGACUAAAACGAUAACAUCCAAGUAAAAAAAAAACAGAGGAGUCCAAAGAGUUUUUCCAGGAUGGACGAUAGUUUGAUAAAUACUUGGGCUGAAAUAACAGAGCGGUGAACAUCAUGCCCACAAUAUUUUCACUUUGCCUGAAGUAAGACUGAAAAAAGUGAUUAUAAAACCAAGAAGAACACAAGUUGAGGUCACCAAAACUGUUCAAGUCAGCUGAUCAUCUCGGUGUUACGUUCAUGUUACGUUCUUUUUAUUUAGAUCUUGUUUGUAUGUGUUUGUUCAUGUUUUCACGAAAAGAAAAGUUACAUAUAUAUUUUAAGAUUUUCUAUUUUUAUUUUAGAGAAGGUUUUCAGUUUGACUCAAAGCUCAACUUCCACUGAUGAUUAGAAAAAAAUAACUGUUUGUUCCCUCAGUAUUAAUUAAUUCAGUGUCUUGUAUGUAAUGGAAUCAGAAUCAUUGAAUGAGUUUUUCAGGUUUAGCAGCUGUUUGUAAGAUCAAACGGAUUCUCAUGUAUUGAUCAGGUGUUACAGUAACCUUAUGUACUAUAUGAUGGGGCUGGGUUUGUUGUUGUUGAUACCCUGCAGCAGAUAAACAAAUGUAACAGAGGCUGUUCCCUUUAACAGGAAGUAAUAAAUUGGUGAGUGGAAAGUU